rnacentral:rRNA from 1 species
GAUGAACGCUGGCGGCGUGCCUAAUACAUGCAAGUCGAGCGAACAGACGAGGAGCUUGCUCCUCUGACGUUAGCGGCGGACGGGUGAGUAACACGUGGAUAACCUACCUAUAAGACUGGGAUAACUUCGGGAAACCGGAGCUAAUACCGGAUAAUAUAUUGAACCGCAUGGUUCAAUAGUGAAAGACGGUUUUGCUGUCACUUAUAGAUGGAUCCGCGCCGCAUUAGCUAGUUGGUAAGGUAACGGCUUACCGAGGCAACGAUGCGUAGCCGACCUGAGAGGGUGAUCGGCCACACUGGAACUGAGACACGGUCCAGACUCCUACGGGAGGCAGCAGUAGGGAAUCUUCCGCAAUGGGCGAAAGCUUGACGGAGCAACGCCGCGUGAGUGAUGAAGGUCUUCGGAUCGUAAAACUCUGUUAUUAGGGAAGAACAAAUGUGUAAGUAACUAUGCACGUCUUGACGGUACCUAAUCAGGAAGCCACGGCUAACUACGUG